GAUACUGUGCCAGAGUGGUUAAUGGGUUAGACUUGAAUUCUUCGUUCAGUCAUCUAAUGGCUUCGGCCUCGCAAGUUCGAAUCUUGUCAGUAUCG